rnacentral:rRNA from 1 species
CUGGGAACUGCGUUGAAGACUGCACAGCUAGAGUCUGGCAGAGGGGGGUAGAAUUCCACGUGUAGCAGUGAAAUGCGUAGAGAUUUGGAGGAAUACCGAUGGCGAAGGCAGCCCCCUGGGAUGUAACUGACGCUCAUGCACGAAAGCGUGGGUAGCAAACAGGAUUAGAUACCCUGGUAGUCCACGCCCUAAACGAUGUCUACUUGCUGUUGGGGGUAAAACCUAAGUAGCGAAGCUAACGCAUGAAGUAGACCGCCUGGGGAGUACGGUCGCAAGAUUAAAACUCAAAGGAAUUGACGGGGACCCGCACAAGCGGUGGAUGAUGUGGAUUAAUUCGAUGCAACGCGAAGAACCUUACCUGCUCUUGACAUGCUAGGAAUGCCGUAGAGAUAUGGCAGUGCCUUCGGGAACCUAGACACAGGUGCUGCAUGGCUGUCGUCAGCUCGUGUCGUGAGAUGUUGUCUUAAGUGACGCAACGAGCGCAACCCUUACUACUAGUUGCCCCAAUUAAGUUUGGCACUCUAGUGGGACUGCCGGA